rnacentral:rRNA from 1 species
UACGUAGGUGGCAAGCGUUAUCCGGAUUUACUGGGUGUAAAGGGCGUGUAGGCGGGGACGCAAGUCAGAUGUGAAAACCACGGGCUCAACCUGUGGCCUGCAUUGAAACUGUGUUUCUUGAGUACUGGAGAGGCAGACGGAACUCCUAGUGUAGCGGUGAAAUGCGUAGAUAUUAGGAGGAACACCAGUGGCGAAGGCGGUCUGCUGGACAGCAACUGACGCUGAGGCGCGAAAGCGUGGGGAGCAAACAGG